rnacentral:rRNA from 1 species
UGCCAGCCGCCGCGGUAAUACAGAGGGUGCAAACGUUGUUCGGAAUUACUGGGCAUAAAGCGCACGUAGGCGGCUUGUCAAGUGCGGAGUGAAAGCCCCGAGCUUAACUUGGGAAUUGCAUUCGAUACUGGUUAGCUAGAGUGUGGGAGAGGAUGGUAGAAUUCCAGGUGUAGCGGUGAAAUGCGUAGAGAUCUGGAGGAAUACCGAUGGCGAAGGCAGCCAUCUGGCCUAACACUGACGCUGAGGUACGAAAGCAUGGGGAGCAAACAGGAUUAGAUA